rnacentral:rRNA from 1 species
GAGUUUGAUCGUGGCUCAGAUUGAACGCUGGCGGCAUGCCUUACAUAUGCAAGUCGAACGGCAGCAUGAUCUAGCUUGCUAGAUUGAUGGCGAGUGGCGAACGGGUGAGUAAUACAUCGGAACGUGCCCUGUAGUGGGGAUAACUAGUCGAAAGAUUAGCUAAUACCGCAUACGACCUGAGGGUGAAAGUGGGGGACCGCAAGGCCUCAUGCUAUAGGAGCGGCCGAUGUCUGAUUAGCUAGUUGGUGGGGUAAAGGCCCACCAAGGCGACGAUCAGUAGCUGGUCUGAGAGGACGAUCAGCCACACUGGGACUGAGACACGGCCCAGACUCCUACGGGAGGCAGCAGUGGGGAAUUUGGACAAUGGGCGAAAGCCUGAUCCAGCAAUGCCGCG